rnacentral:rRNA from 1 species
UACGAAGGGGGCUAGCGUUGUUCGGAAUUACUGGGCGUAAAGCGCACGUAGGCGGAUCGGUCAGUUAGGGGUGAAAUCCCAGAGCUCAACUCUGGAACUGCCUUUAAUACUGCCGAUCUCGAGUCCGGAAGAGGUGAGUGGAAUUCCGAGUGUAGAGGUGAAAUUCGUAGAUAUUCGGAGGAACACCAGUGGCGAAGGCGGCUCACUGGUCCGGUACUGACGCUGAGGUGCGAAAGCGUGGGGAGCAAAUGGG